UACGUAGGGCGCAAGCGUUGUCCGGAAUUAUUGGGCGUAAAGAGCUCGUAGGCGGUUUGUCGCGUCUGCUGUGAAAUCCCGAGGCUCAACCUCGGGCUUGCAGUGGGUACGGGCAGACUAGAGUGCGGUAGGGGAGAUUGGAAUUCCUGGUGUAGCGGUGGAAUGCGUAGAGAUCGGGAGGAACACCAGUGGCGAAGGCGGCUCCACUGGCCCGGUACUGACGCUGAGGUGCGAAAGGCGUGGGGAGCAAACAGG
rnacentral:rRNA from 1 species